rnacentral:rRNA from 1 species
GAGUGAACGCUGGCGGUAGGCCUAACACAUGCAAGUCGAACAGCAGCACAGUAAGAGCUUGCUCUUACGGGUGGCGAGUGGCGGACGGGUGAGGAAUACAUCGGAAUCUACUUUUUCGUGGGGGAUAACGUAGGGAAACUUACGCUAAUACCGCAUACGACCUUCCGGUGAAAGCAGGGGAUCUUCGGACCUUGCGCGAUUGAAUGAGCCGAUGUCGGAUUAGCUAGUUGGCGGGGUAAAGGCCCACCAAGGCGACGAUCCGUAGCUGGUCUGAGAGGAUGAUCAGCCACACUGGAACUGAGACACGGUCCAGACUCCUACGGGAGGCAGCAGUGGGGAAUAUUGGACAAUGGGCGCAAGCCUGAUCCAGCCAUACCGCGUGGGUGAAGAAGGCCUUCGGGUUGUAAAGCCCUUUUGUUGGGAAAGAAAAGCAGCAGGUUAAUACCCCGCUGUUCUGACGGUACCCAAAGAAUAAGCACCGGCUAACUUCGUG